UGACCACCGCUGUCCUCACGCAAAGCUGCCAUGGUCAUUCCACAUCCUCUACCUGCCCCCUCCAGCCCCCAGUCCAAUGGCACCCGGGCCUUGACUCCAGACCCCCCUGCCCCUAUAUCCUGACCUGCUUUCCCUCUGACAUACCAAACCCAACAGGCCACAUCCUUCCACCAAGUCUCCCACCCAGGUGCCCCCAGCCUGGGAGGUCUAUGCUGUGCGCCUCUGGCCCCUCCUUGGACACCAGAGGGACAGCCUCCCGCCAACACCCUCCCCUCCCUGCAGCCCAGGUCCUGCGUGGCUCCCACUGUCCCGGCCCAGCUCCCCACCUUCCCCAGGCCUGCUAACCCAGCCAGACAAAACCACCCACUCACACCAGUUCCCCUCUGGCCGCACUCCGGCCUCUCGGCCGGUCUGCAAUGGGCACACUGAGAGCUGCUGGACAGACCACCAAGGCAGGCCACAACACUGGAGACCCCCAAAGACGGGGCUUUCACCAGGCAACUCAUAAGACUGCUCUCUAAGCUGCCCAGAUCCUGCUUGGGGAACCCCUGGGCAGGCCAUCCUGCCGGCAGACACCAGAUCUGGGCGGUGCCUGCCCUGGCAUGGCAGGACGGCAGGGGUCCAUCAGAUGGGAGCCUAGUCACAGCUCGGGCCAAGAAGCCGCGUGCCCUGUGCAGGCCUCCCCCCAUGCCAGCCUGCUCCACUGUCUGAGGCUCAUGCUGUGGCCUCAGACACUGGGGAUGAAAGGGGAUUCAGAAUUUGUGUCACAAACCUCCUGCCACACCCAGGACCCGGUGUCUUGGCUGUAAGGCAGAGAGCCCACUCCUGGAACCCAGGAUGAGGUGCUCCCCAGAGGCCGUGCCCCCAGGCCUGGCUCAGCCUUUCUCCUCCUUGGCUUGGUGGAGCUGAAGAGGGCACUCACAUCUCUAUGCCCAACCCUGCCAGCAGGGUGGAAAUUCAGGCAGGCUGUGGGAGGGUGGGGUUGUCCUCCUGGGGCUCUGCCCAGCUCUCCCAUCUAGCUUCCCAUACACCCACUGCAGGGGCCACAGGCACCCAAGGAGGCCUCGAAGAUGGACUGGCCCUCCGUCUGCUACAUCCACAGGGGGCACGCUAGAAACGCAGAAGGGGACGCAACAGCCACAUUCCAGUCCACAAAGACACCGCGCAGGCCCGUCCAUCUGCCCCGUGAAUGCCACCCAGGCAGAGACACACAUACAGCUGAGGCUGGGCCGGAUCCCAGAGCAAACCCUUGGGUGCCUCUGGAGGGAGCCCGCCAAGAGGGAUGGCUCAUAAACACUGGGGAAGGAACAGAAGGGGAGGGAGCAAAGGAACUCGGCCGCUCACCUCCGACCCAACCACUUCCUGAGAAGCCAUCUCUGUGGUCAUGGUGGUCCCAGGCCUGGCUCUCCCUGCGCCCACCCCCACCACCCAGUCACUCCACCCAGUCACCCCACCCAGCUGUGACCUGCCGCUUCCCUCCAUCUCACAUGCUUUCCCCUCACCUCCCUCAGGAAGCCUCCCCAACCUCUGGCCUCCAGUCCCAACAAGCCAUGCUCCUUCCAGAGGGAACCUCUGCCAGGGGAGCCUCCACUUUCUUGCUCCUGCCUCCCUACCUGGCACCCAGGCCGGCCCUGGUACCCUGGUACUGAAUAAAGGCACACGUCUAAAUGA
rnacentral:sRNA from 1 species